GAGAGUAAAACAGUACGUGAAAUUGUUGAAAGGGAAACGCUUGAAGUCAGUCGUGCCGGCGUUGGAUUCAGCUUGCUUCGCGGAGCAGGCGCAUUUCCGCGCAUGGCAGGUCAGCGUCAGUUUUGCGCGGCGUGAAAAGGCUCGGGUAAGGUGGCUCUCUUCGGGGAGUGUUAUAGACCUGGGCAGAUGCGCUGCGCGGGACUGAGGAUUGCAGCGGACACCCCCUCGGGGGCGCGGCGACCGAACCCUGCUCGGCCACCCUCGUUCGAUAGCGUGCUAGCGGACGCGGGAGCGGCAGUGCACCGGAACAGGCAAGCCAGCGGUUCGCUAAGGAUGCUGACGUAAUGGCUUUAAACGA
rnacentral:rRNA from 1 species